rnacentral:rRNA from 1 species
ACUCCUACGGGAGGCAGCAGUGGGGAAUAUUGCACAAUGGGCGCAAGCCUGAUGCAGCAACGCCGCGUGAGCGAUGAAGGCCUUCGGUCGUAAAGCUCUGUCCUCAAGGAAGAAUAAAUGACGGUACUUGAGGAGGAAGCCCGGCUAACUACGUGCCAGCAGCCGCGGUAAUACGUAGGGGGCAAGCGUUAUCCGGAAUCACUGGGCGUAAAGGGUGCGUAGGCGGUUUUCAAGUCAGAAGUGAAAGGCUAUGGCUCAACCAUAGUAAGCUUUUGAAACUGUUAAACUUGAGUGCAGGAGAGGAAAGUGGAAUUCCUAGUGUAGAGGUGAAAUUCGUAGAUAUUAGGAGGAACACCAGUGGCGAAGGCGACUUUCUGGACUGUAACUGACGCUGAGGCACGAAAGCGUGGGGAGCGAACAGGAUUAGAUACCCUGGUAGCACAGAG